CGGGACGGGGUGGAGGUAACGACGUGGGAGUAACCUACUCCACACUGGGGGAUAACAGUUAGAAAUGGCUGCUAAUACCGCAUAAGCGCACAGUACCGCAUGGUACGGUGUGAAAAACCCAAGGUGGUGUGAGAUGGAUCCGCGUCUGAUUAGCCAGUUGGCGGGGUAACGGCCCACCAAAGCGACGAUCAGUAGCCGACCUGAGAGGGUGACCGGCCACAUUGGGACUGAGACACGGCCCAA
rnacentral:rRNA from 1 species